rnacentral:misc_RNA from 1 species
CUUAAUUGCCACCACGCCUUUAACCAUUAAUAACGGAAGCGAGGGGAUAUGGCAUUGUAGUAAUCCGCAGGUCUGUUUUGAUAGAAGUGGAAAGGAGAGGAAGACAGAAGUAGCUGGCCAUGUGCAAUGGAGAGUGGCGAGCCAGCUGGCGCGUUCAGAGAGAACAGGGGCCAAUAACAAUGGCAUCCAGCUAAGCAAAUAAACGGGCGAAGAGGGUAACGGCGUGAGAUGGGGAUUCUGUGAAUAUUCCUAAAAACGGAAAGGUUAGUAUCGGUAGCCGGAGGGGAAAUGGAUGGUGACAGCAGGGAAAAGGAAUGAUGACGGGCCGAUCUUAUUCAUGCCAGGUAAGAAUAUACCCCAAGUGGAGAAAGAGAUAGAGAGAAGAAGAUACAAUGCUUUCUGAUCUGUUGUAUAAUAUGGAUGAUGUAUUUAGUAUUUACCAUGCGAGGUUUGCCACGUGGGAUGAAACUUAAAACGAG